UCCUAGUUUCCCAGGCAGUCUCGCUAAAGUACUCCCCAAAAGGGUUAGCAACUAACGACAGGAGUUGCGCUCGUUAAAGGACUUAACCUAACAUCUCACGACACGAGCUGACGACAGCCAUGCAGCACCUGUGCAAAUGUAUCAGGUUUCCCCUCAAAAACCGCAUUUCGGCAGCUUUCAUUUGCAUGUCAAGCCUAGGUAAGGUUCCUCGCGUAGUAUCGAAUUAAACCACAUGUUCCACCGCUUGUGCGGGCCCCCGUCAAUUUCUUUAAGUUUUAAUCUUGCGAUCGUACUACUCAGGCGGAUCACUUAAUGCGUUAGCUACAACACCCAGUAUAAACCAGACGUUUAGUGAUCAUCGUUUACUGCGUGGACUAC
rnacentral:misc_RNA from 1 species